UACGUAGGGGGCAAGCGUUGUCCGGAUUUAUUGGGCGUAAAGAGCGUGUAGGCGGCCAAACAGGUCCGCUGUGAAAACUCGAGGCUCAACCUCGAGAGGUCGGUGGAAACCGUAUGGCUAGAGUCCGGAAGAGGAGAGUGGAAUUCCCGGUGUUGCGGUGAAAUGCGCAGAUAUCGGGAAGAACACCGGUGGCGAAGGCGGCUCUCUGGGACGGUACUGACGCUGAGACGCGAAAGCGUGGGGAGCGAACAGG
rnacentral:rRNA from 1 species